UGGCGGACGGGUGAGUAACGCGUGAGAAUCUGCCUUCUGGUCGGGGACAACCACGGGAAACGGUGGCUAAUACCGGAUGUGCCGAAGGGUAAAAGAGAAAUUGCCAGAAGAGGAGCUCGCGUCUGAUUAGCUAGUUGGUGGGGUAAAGGCUCACCAAGGCAUCGAUCAGUAGCUGGUCUGAGAGGACGAUCAGCCACACUGGGACUGAGACACGGCCCAG
rnacentral:rRNA from 1 species